UCCGUUCACAGAAAGACUGUGCUUUUUGAUGGUCCCAUCCACGCCGAGAAAAAACACAAACAAUGAUGCUGGGCUAUUCGGCUUAAGGAGAUUACGAGCGCUUGGACUGGCAGAGUUUAGAAGCUCAGUUGAUUGCCCCUGUGGAGUUUAGGUCGAGUGGUCCAUCCGAGGAGGAAAUGGCACCUUAACAGCAUUCCCCAUGAUCUUCCCGUACUUCAGCUUCCUCUCCCCGUGGAAAUUCCAGAGCAAUAGCUUUAAAGAUACUUAGGCCAGCAGCUCCAACUAAAUGAAUAUAAGAAACACAUAAGUGGAAGGAAAAGAGAAUGAGUAUAAAAUAACAAUCAAGCCUGGGAAAAUGUUCAUGACUUCUACCUUCCCUCCCCAUCCUCAGAGGUUACCUUGCGAUCUCGAACAAGUGUUUGAUGCGGUGCUGAAAGAAGACUACAUAAUAUCAUAAAUCGUGGUUCUGCUCUGGAAAGUCACUAUGUUAAAACGAGGCCUUUUUACUUCUCAGAUCUGUCCCCAGUAUGUACUCAGAGUCACACCCUAUAUUAUGUGGUUCCACCACUGCAGAAUUUUUCAUGGAAUCUGCUCCUUGCUGCAGACUUGUGCUCAGCAUUUAAGCUGUUGUUCAUUAGAAAAGAUUAUUUUUCCAGCGCUCCUGGUUGUUAAAAUGCCCCUGAAAACAUGAACCAAGUGCAAGCCAACAUAGUGUAGUCUUUCUGAGUCUGCAGAGAGCCUGCGCUUAGUACAUUCGGGAUGCAGUUGAUAAUAAAUAAUAUUUACAGUG